GACGAACGCUGGCGGCGUGCUUAACACAUGCAAGUCGAACGGAAAGGCCCUGCUUUUGUGGGGUGCUCGAGUGGCUAACGGGUGAGUAACACGUGAGUAACCUGCCCUUGACUUUGGGAUAACUUCAGGAAACUGGGGCUAAUACCGGAUAGGAGCUCCUGCUGCAUGGUGGGGGUUGGAAAGUUUCGGCGGUUGGGGAUGGACUCGCGGCUUAUCAGCUUGUUGGUGGGGUAGUGGCUUACCAAGGCUUUGACGGGUAGCCGGCCUGAGAGGGUGAACGGCCACAUUGGGACUGAGAUACGGACCAGACUCGUACGGGACGCAGCUGUGGCGAAUAUUGCACAAUGGGCGGAAGCCUGAUGCAGCAACGCCGCGUGCGGGAUGACGGCCUUCGGGUUGUAAACCGCUUUAGCCUGUGACGAAGCGUGAGUGACGGUAAUGGGUAAAGAAGCACCGGCUAACUACGUG
rnacentral:rRNA from 1 species